rnacentral:lncRNA from 1 species
UCAGGACCAGCGUCCACACCAGAGUGCAGUAGGGGGGGAGGAGUCCCAGGCAUCGGGAUCAGGCGGCGCACUGCCAGUGGGAGGACAUGAGUCAGGAUUGGCCACGCCUCCAUCGGGGAGCGAGGAAACGGUCGAGAGGAAGGUUGAAGGCUGGGCGCGCGCGCCAAGUUCAAAUGUACAGGAGGGCGGCGCAGUUGGCAGCCCGGAUAGGGAGCCAGGUCCCAAAGCCCGGGAGGAGUCAGGAGGGUCAGCGUCAGAAGAAUCCAGGAAGGAAGGGACCCCGGGGGGUAGCAGGACCCAGAGGAGAAAGGAGAGACGUAAGAGGUGGAGUAAGGCUAGAAUCUUAAACUGGUGUACAGGGGGCGGAGACUCAGAUGGAGCUUCGCCGAUCUAACCCCUAGACGUAGAGCUGGGGCGCUCCGGCUUGAAAAUGGAAACUGUACUUCAAUAAAGACUUUUGUACAUUACUGCCGGCUAGCGUUGGUCCUCUGUGAGCUGGGACCUGGAGCCAGCUCUGACAAUAUUGU